GAGCGGAUGAACUGAGGGUAGCGGAGAAAUUCCAAUCGAACCUGGAGAUAGCUGGUUCUCUCCGAAAUAGCUUUAGGGCUAGCCUCAAGUGAUGAUUAUUGGAGGUAGAGCACUGUUUGGACGAGGGGCCCCUCUCGGGUUACCGAAUUCAGACAAACUCCGAAUGCCAAUUAAUUUAACUUGGGAGUCAGAACAUGGGUGAUAAGGUCCGUGUUCGAAAGGGAAACAGCCCAGACCACCAGCUAAGGUCCCAAAAUAUAUGUUAAGUGGAAAAGGAUGUGGCGUUGCCCAGACAACUAGGAUGUUGGCUUAGAAGCAGCCAUCAUUUAAAGAGUGCGUAAUAGCUCACUAGUCGAGUGACACUGCGCCGAAAAUGUACCGGGGCUAAACAUAUUACCGAAGCUGUGGAUUGUCCUUUGGACAAUGGUAGGAGAGCGUUCUAAGGGCGUUGAAGCAUGAUCGUAAGGACAUGUGGAGCGCUUAGAAGUGAGAAUGCCGGUGUGAGUAGCGAAAGACGGGUGAGAAUCCCGUCCACCGAUUGACUAAGGUUUCCAGAGGAAGACUCGUCCGCUCUGGGUUAGUCGGGUCCUAAGCUGAGGCCGACAGGCGUAGGCGAUGGAUAACAGGUUGAUAUUCCUGUACCACCUAUAAUCGUUUUAAUCGAUGGGGGGACGCAGUAGGAUAGGCGAAGCGUGCGAUUGGAUUGCACGUCUAAGCAGUAAGGCUGAGUAUUAGGCAAAUCCGGUACUCGUUAAGGCUGAGCUGUGAUGGGGAGAAGACAUUGUGUCUUCGAGUCGUUGAUUUCACACUGCCGAGAAAAGCCUCUAGAUAGAAAAUAGGUGCCCGUACCGCAAACCGACACAGGUAGUCAAGAUGAGAAUUCUAAGGUGAGCGAGCGAACUCUCGUUAAGGAACUCGGCAAAAUGACCCCGUAACUUCGGGAGAAGGGGUGCUCUUUAGGGUUAACGCCCAGAAGAGCCGCAGUGAAUAGGCCCAAGCG
rnacentral:rRNA from 1 species